ACGGAAGGCAGCAGUGGGGAAUAUUGCACAAUGGGGGAAACCCUGAUGCAGCGACGCCGCGUGAAGGAAGAAGUAUCUCGGUAUGUAAACUUCUAUCAGCAGGGAAGAAAAUGACGGUACCUGACUAAGAAGCCCCGGCUAACUACGUGCCAGCAGCCGCGGUAAUACGUAGGGGGCAAGCGUUAUCCGGAUUUACUGGGUGUAAAGGGGGCGUAGACGGAAUUGCAAGUCUGAUGUGAAAGGCAUGGGCUCAACCUGUGGACUGCAUUGGAAACUGUGAUUCUUGAGUGCCGGAGGGGUAAGCGGAAUUCCUGGUGUAGCGGUGAAAUGCGUAGAUAUCAGGAGGAACACCGGUGGCGAAGGCGGCUUACUGGACGGCAACUGACGUUGAGGCUCGAAGGCGUGGGGAGCAAACAGGAUUAGAUACCCUGGUA
rnacentral:rRNA from 1 species